UCACUGAUUUUUGGUUGAACCCAUAAUAUUGCUAAAUCUACAUCGAUGACUACGAAUAAACUAGCGUUGCUCUAAAGUUGUUUUGGCUAUCGAGGAUUUCUCAUCUGCUCAUCGCUAAUAUAAACUAACAUAUGGCGGAUUUGGCUAUUUUAAUCAGGUCAACUUAAAGAUUCUAGAUGUUAGUUUUUGAAUGGCACAAAAACAGAAGAUGGUGGGAGUUAUUUUUUCGAGGAAACACAUCAGAAAGCGAAAAUUUUCAGAUUCAUCCGCUGGGACAUAUAUGUUGAAGCGCGCAUACUUUGAUCCCGCUAGGCCGAAGCAAUGGGAAAAAAACAAAAUCCCCCAGAAUAUUUCCAAAUCAGUUUUAACACGUUUCGCGCAAGUCUCAAAAAAAUCCUUCUGGAAACGGCGGA